rnacentral:rRNA from 1 species
UGGGGAAUAUUGCACAAUGGGCGAAAGCCUGAUGCAGCGACGCCGCGUGAGGGAUGACGGCCUUCGGGUUGUAAACCUCUUUCAGCAGGGACGAAGCGCAAGUGACGGUACCUGCAGAAGAAGCACCGGCUAACUACGUGCCAGCAGCCGCGGUAAUACGUAGGGUGCAAGCGUUGUCCGGAAUUACUGGGCGUAAAGAGGUCGUAGGCGGUUUGUCGCGUCGUUUGUGAAAACCAGCAGCUCAACUGCUGGCUUGCAGGCGAUACGGGCAGACUUGAGUACUGCAGGGGAGACUGGAAUUCCUGGUGUAGCGGUGAAAUGCGCAGAUAUCAGGAGGAACACCGGUGGCGAAGGCGGGUCUCUGGGCAGUAACUGACGCUGAGGAACGAAAGCGUGGGUAGCGAACAGG